rnacentral:snRNA from 1 species
UUUUGUGCGCGGUGGCAGUAUUGUAGCCAACGAGGCCCAGCUGAGGCGUGAUUAUUGCUCGUUGAAAACAUUUCCCUUUUUCCUUCUUCAGCUUUUCCUUCCUUCAAGCACCCCAUUCUGGAAAGCACUGGAGUACAGUCCAACCUUUGU